rnacentral:rRNA from 1 species
UACGUAGGGUGCGAGCGUUGUCCGGAAUUAUUGGGCGUAAAGGGCUCGUAGGCGGUUUGUCGCGUCGGGAGUGAAAUCCACUGGCUUAACUGGUGGCUUGCUUUCGAUACGGGCAGACUGGAGGUAUGCAGGGGAGAACGGAAUUCCUGGUGUAGCGGUGAAAUGCGCAGAUAUCAGGAGGAACACCGGUGGCGAAGGCGGCGACCUGGGUAGAUACUGACGCUGAGGUGCGAAAGCGUGGGGAGCAAACAGG